CCAGGAUCGCUUCCUGGGCCAAAGGCGGGCACCAAACCGCUGAGCCACCCAGGGAUCCCUUUAAACAGUAGUUUAAAAUUACACAAGUUAACCUGUGGUUAUUGUUGGAAAAGUAGAAGGUAGAAAUGGGUAAAACACAUUUAUUUAGCUCAGAUCUUACUACCCAGAGUGAGUUAUUUAUUUAUUUAUUUAUUUAUUUAUUUAUUUAUCUAUCUAUCUAUCUAUCUAUUUAUUUAAGAUUUUAUUUAUUUAUUCAUGAGAGACACACACACACAGAAGGAGAGAGAGGCAGAGACACAGGCAGAGGGCAAAGCAAGCUCCAUGCAGGGAGCCUGACACGGGACUCGACCCUGGGUCUCCAGAAUCAAGCCCUGGGCUGAAGGCAUUGCUAAACCGCUGAACCACUUGGGCUGCCCAAGAUAUUUAUUUUUUAUGGUUCCCCUCAGACUCCUCUAAUCAAAUGAAAAUGAUUUGAAAGUUGAAUUUGAAGAUAAGUUAUUUAAAGUCAAUCUGAUCUUCGUGAAUCAACACAUAAGAGUGGCUCCCAGGGUGGCUGGGCGCGGUGCACUUGGUUAGGUGUUGGACUCUUGGUUUCAGCUUGGGUCAUGAUUUUGGGAUCGAGCCCUGCCUGGGGUCCGUGCUCAGCAUGGAGUCUGCUUGAGAUUUUCUCCCUCUUCCUCUGCCCUUUUCCUCUCUCUCUCUCAAAUAAAUAAAAUCUUAAAAAAAAAAAAAGUGGUUCUCACAUGUACUUUCACUUGGGGAUGUUCUAGCUAAUUCUUCACUCCAUAGAAACCAUGUAGUUUAAAAUAAACUACAAUGUUGAGAGAAAGGAACUCAUGCAGUUGUAGUCAGUGGAAGGUUGGUGGAAGCAUUUCAGACAUUUAAUAUGAAGGUAUAAGUAGAUAGAAAUUGUUAAAGAACAAUUCAGCCCUGAACAUGUAGACUUGGAGAUGAGUUUAGUUAUGAUUUAGAGAUGGAGGAUAAAGAUGGUAUGGAGAUUAACAGGUUACAAAGAUUGGGUAGUUGGAUCAACUACAGUUGUUGGAAGAAAGGAACGUUAAACUGUGCUUCUUGGCAAAAGUGGAAGAGUAAGAUAUUUUUUUGAGAUAAUGAAAAACAUAGGUAGUAACAUGAAGUUAAAAGUAUAAGUCUAAUUGGCAAGUUAAGAUAUCUCAUUGAAUUUCUUUUUUUUUUAAUUGAUUUGGUAGACAUUUGUUGAAGAUCUGGUAUCUAGGCUCUGGGGAAUAAUGAAGGAAGACGGCACAGCUCUAUCCAAAGACCUAUAAUCUAGAGGAUUGUGAAAAUUAUAUUUGGGAAGUUGUGUUUUAUGAAGAUAAUAGUUUAAACAGUGCCAGUGGAUAAGAAUUUUUAGCUAAGGAUUAUAUAUAUAUAUUAGGAUUAUAUAUUCAUGGAAUUUAGGUCUGGAACAGACCACAAUGAUGUAGUUCAAUCUUUGUUUUCCUUGUUUUUUUUUUUUUUUUUUUUUUUAAGAUUUUAUUUAUUCAUGAGAGAGAGAGAGAGAGAGGCAGAGACACAGGCAGAGGGAGAAGCAGGCUCCAUGCAGGGACCCUGAUGUGGGACUCGAUCCCGGGACUCAGGAUCACACUCUGGGCCGAAGGCAGGCGCCAAACCACUGAGCCACCCAGGGAUCCCAACGUUUGUUUUUCUGAUAUCAGCAAGGUCAGAGAUGUAUAGUGACUUGCUUAUGGUCACCCAGUUUGGAUGUUUAGGUCUUGAAUUCAGAUCCUAAUUUCCCGUACAGGGCUUUUUCUCCUAUAUAUUGAAUCUUGGAAAAAAAAGAAAAGUCAGAAGAAGAUAGGAAUCAGUCUAGAAAUAUUCAUCAGAUGCCUUCUAUAUAGUAGAAUUAAUAAAGGAAACAAACAUUCCUGUUUUUGAGGAGUUUAUGCAAAGGAUUCUUUCAUUUGUAAUAGAAAUCCAUCUCAAAUUGAAGGAGAAGGGAGAAUUUAUUAUUUCAUGUAACCAGAAAAGACAUGAGUGAAUCUGGCUUCAGGAUAGACUGGGAUCAGGGCCUCAAGACAUCAAGACCACUCUGUCUCCCUCUUGCAUUUUGGCAUAUGUCUAUGUAUUAAAUUCUUUUUUUUUUUUUGUUAAAUAUGCUUCUUUCAUGAUUGGGAAACAUAGCUCCUGGCAGCUCUGGGGUUAUAUCUUUAUAGUGCAUGAUGGAAUAGGAAAGAGCUAUUUCCUGUUGGAAAGACUUCAGGGAAUGAAUGAUAUAUAGCCCAGUCUACUUCACUUGCCAUCAUGUGGUUGAAGGUGUUCUACCUGACAGCCCUACUGAAUCACAUAAAGUGGGAGAAUUUCUGUAAAGGGGGAGGAUUAGGAAUGCUGGGCAUAUAAAACAUAAGGAGGGAAGACUGCCUGACAUGCGUACACACCAUGCACACAAAACCAUAGUAGGUGUCAAAUAUAGAAGUAGAAUGUGCCAUAGGAGUUCAGACCCUGGGACGUCAGGAAAUAUUCCUCAAAGUGAAAUAACGGAGUCUUGGUGAGUGAAUAGGAUUUUUGUAAGUGAAGAGGAAGCAUGAGUGGAGAUCCAGGCAGUAGGAAACAGUGAGGUAUGAACUAGAGACUUAUGCAAAAUGUUUUUGGAGAAUUGUGAGUAGACCAAAUCCUGUGACUUAGAGAAGACUGGGAAGAUGUGUUUGGCUUAGAGUGUGAAGGGCCCUGAAUGUUAGGAUAAGGAAUUUGACCCUUACUCUGUGGGCAGUGAGGAACCAUUGAAAUAUUUUGAUCAAGGGAAAAAAGGUAUUUUAGAAAGGUAAAUGGAGGAGCCUAAGAGUGAUUUUAUUUUAUUUUAUUUUAUUUUAUUUUAUUUUAUUUUAUUUUAUUUUAUUUUUAUUAUUAUUAUUUUUUAUAUUCUUAAAAAUAUUUUAUUUAUUUAUUCAUGAGAGCACAGAGAGAGGCAGAGACACAGGCAGAGGGAGAAGCAGGCUCCAUGCAGGAAGCCCAAUGUGGGACUUAGUCCUGGGACCCUGGGAUCGCGACCUGAGCCAAAGGCGGAUGUUCAGUUACUGAGCCACCCAGGGGCCCCUAAGAGUGAUUUUAGAUCAGAAAACUUAGAUAAAAAAACAAUGGAAUUUAUUUCCAGAGGAGCUAAGCUAUACUGUUCCUAAUAUGAAAAACAUAUAAUAAUUGUGAACAGAUCACUUACCUGUUUUCUAUUUGCCUUUUCAGUAAAAUAAAUAUGCUUAUCUUUCCUCAUAUGAGAUCAGAGUUCAUAUAUAAUUUUAGUAAGAAAAUAUUAUGGGGACACCUGGGUGGUGUGCUUGAGCUUUAGAGACACUAUGGAAUGCUUAUGCAGAUGGAAUGUGUGUAUGUAUGACAUAAGGAAAUACAGUGUACUUAAUUCUUUUUUUUUUAAAGAUUUAUUUAUUUAUGAUAGACAUAGAGAGAGAGACAGACAGAGAGAGAGAGAGAGAGGCAGAGACACAGGAGGAGGGAGAAGCAAGCUCCAUUCCGGGAGCCCGAUGUGGAACUCGAUCCCGGGACUCCAGGACCGUGCCCUGGGCCAAAGGCAGGCGCUAAACCGCUGACCCACCCAGGGAUCCCAGUGUACUUAAUUCUUAAAAAUCGUUAUGGGUUUUAAAAAAAAUUUGAAAAUAAAACUUGUGAGAGUCUCCUUUUAACUCAUUCUCCCACCCUGUCCUCCCAAUAUAGCCUUGUUUCUCCCUUCACCCAGUUCAGGUAACUACUAUUAGUGGUUGGUAUUUCAGACUCUAUGUAUAGCUAAAAUAUAUGUAUGUACAUACGUUUUUCAGAGUAAAUAGUGGAGUGAUAAUUUCAAACACUUAUGUAGUAUUUACUUUGUACUAGGUACUAUUACAUAUGUUAGCUCUUUAAUCCUCACUAUAAUUCUGUGAAGUAUAUAUUAUUCCUAUUUUAAAGUUGAGGAAACUGGGACACAGGAAGGCUAAGCACCUUGCCUAAGGUUAUAUAACCAGUAAGUACUAGAGCUAAGUUUCAGACCCAGGCAUUUUGCUUUUGGAGCUUGUGUCUUCAGCCACUAGCUUUAGUGGGAAGAUGCCUCCCUCCCUGUGGGGACUAAGAACAAACCUACCUUUGUCCCAGAUCAUCUACUUGAGAAAACAAAUCUUGGUUUUGCUUUUAAAACCUUUUAGGUAAACACUUACUAUGUAUCAUUGGUCUUUUAAAGCUGUCAUCUUUUCUCUCAUGUAGUGCUUUUUUGAGGGGGUAAAUGUCAAAUUCCAUUUUGAGAAUCUGUUAAAUGUUACAGACCAUCUCUUUUCAGGAACAUCCACGUAUGCAAAAAUAAAAUUUUACUGGGCAUAUCAGAGUAUUUAUGGACUUUAAGUUCAUCUUUGGACUGAGCUGAAAAAAAUCUUUACUUGCAACAUUUCAAUUUGUCUUUUCUCUCCAUUGUGUACACAUUUUUUUAGCCUGCUCUUAUGUUAUUAAUUUACCUUUUUUAAAAAUUUUUUUAUUUAUUUAUGAUAGUCACACACACAGAGAGAGAGAGGCAGAGAGAGAGGCAGAGGGAAAAGCAGGCUCCAUGCACCGGGAGCCUGACAUGGGAUUUGAUCCCGGGUCUCCAGGAUCGCGCCCUGGGCCAAAGGCAGGCGCUAAACAGCUGCACCACCCAGGGAUCCCUAAUUUACCUUUUUAUAUAUUGUUUCUACUUCUUUUGCUUGUUUCUACUUCUUAUUUUGCCAUUUUUUCUUUUUUUAGUAUCAUUACAUACUCAUAUAUUUUUAUUUAAUUCUGUAUGAUAGAAUCAGUCAUUCUGAUUGUAAUUCUCAAAUUAUUGUAAUGCAUUUAAAGUUCUCCUGUGAGGAUUUUUUCUGACUGUACAGAUAGCUGCUUUCAUCCUUGUUUUGAUUAAUGGCUGUAUUUGGUCUUAGGUUCUAAAGUCUGUGCCUUUUUAAUUUUUUUGAGAUAAAUAUCAGUUAUAUAAAAUUUCCUUUUUACUCUGGUAAAAAAAAAAAAA
rnacentral:lncRNA from 1 species